rnacentral:rRNA from 1 species
UAGGGAAUAUUGGUAAUGUGCGGAAGCGCGAACCAGCAACGCCGCGUGCGUGAUGAAGGCCUUCGGGUUGUAAGGCGCUUUUUAUGGGGAUGAGGAAGGACAGUACUCAUAGAAUAAGCCUCGGCUAACUACGUGCCAGCAGCCGCGGUAAAACGUAGGAGGCGAGCGUUAUCCGGAUUUACUGGGCGUAAAGCGUGUGUAGGCGGUUUGAUAAGUUGGAUGUGAAAGCUCCUGGCUUAACUGGGAGAGGUCGUUCAAAACUAUCAGACUUGAGAGUGGUAGAGGGAGGUGGAAUUCCGGGUGUAGUGGUGAAAUGCGUAGAUAUCCGGAGGAACACCAGUGGCGAAAGCGGCCUCCUGGCCCAUUUCUGACGCUCAGACACGAAAGCUAAGGUAGCAAACGG